UACGAGGGGUGCAAGCGUUGCUCGGAAUUAUUGGGCGUAAAGGGUAGGUAGGUGGUCUCAUUUGUCUGAUGUGAAAGCCUUGGGCUUAACUCAAGAAGUGCGUCAGAAACGGUGAGACUGGAGUCCUGGAGAGGGUCGUGGAAUUCCCGGUGUAGCGGUGAAAUGCGUAGAGAUCCGGAGGAACCCCAGAGGCGAAGGCGGCGUCCUGGCUCGCAUCUGACGCUCAGACACGACAGCAUGGGGAGCGAACGGG
rnacentral:rRNA from 1 species